AUUAAAUUCUAAUGCAUGACAUUUUCCAGUUCUGUUACAGAGAAUAAAAAUGGGUUGAGAAAAAUAUGUACAAUCCUCAAGCCAUUUUGUGAAUGGGAAGUCACUAAAUGGCUGAGUGUGUCAGCUGACACUCUAAGCCAAUCAGCAGGGCCUCUGCACCUAGGCUUCUGUAUUAAAGCUUUUUAGCAAGCGAAUGUUGGAGGGGGCAGAGCGAACCGGUGCAGGAGAGGAGAAUUUAGGUUAAAUAGUUCAUGAACUGGGACAUUGUGGCACCAUAACAGCUUCAUUUCAAUUAAGUGGUUAUGAUGCCCGGAGGGACUUUAAGCCUUCUCUGUUGUAGGUCAAUUUUUUUCAAGAUUGAAUACAAAAAGACAUGGGCUGGUUUACAA